rnacentral:rRNA from 1 species
AUUGAACGCUGGCGGCAUGCUUUACACAUGCAAGUCGAACGGGAACUUGCCUUCUGGUGCUGCCGAGUGGCGUACGGGUGCGUAAUGCAUCGUAACGUACCCAGAGGUGGGGGAUAACGCAGCGAAAGCUGUGCUAAUACCUCAUGUGAUCUGAGGUUUCAAGCUUGGGACCGAGCAGCAAUGUUUGGCCUCGUGCCUUUGUAGCGGCCGAUGUCGGAUUAGCUCGUUGGUGGGUUAAAGGCCUACCACGGCGACGAUCCGUAUCUGGUCUGAGAGCACGAAUAGACAGACUGUGACUGAGAAACGGCAGAGACACCGACGGGAGGCAACAGUGGAGAAUUUUGGGCAAUGGGCGAAAGCCUGAUACAGCAAUGCCGCGUGCGGGAAGAAGGCCUACGGGUUGUAAACCGCUUUUGGCAGGAACGAAACGGUGUCCGCUAAUACCGGGCGAUAAUGACGGUACCGGCAGAAUAAGCACCGGCUAACUACGUG